rnacentral:rRNA from 1 species
CGUCAAGUCAUCAUGGCCCUUACGAGUAGGGCUACACACGUGCUACAAUGGGAGAUACAGACGGACGCUAAGCCGCGAGGUGGUGCUAAUCCUAGAAAGUCUCUCGUAGUCCGGAUUGGAGUCUGCAACUCGACUCCAUGAAGUCGGAAUCGCUAGUAAUCGCGGAUCAGCAUGCCGCGGUGAAUACGUUCUCGGGUCUU